GGGUGGUAAUGCCGGAUGCUCCAUCACACCGCAUGGUGUGUUGGGAAAGCCUUUGCGGCAUGGGAUGGGGUCGCGUCCUAUCAGCUUGAUGGCGGGGUAACGGCCCACCAUGGCUUCGACGGGUAGCCGGCCUGAGAGGGCGACCGGCCACAUUGGGACUGAGAUACGGCCCAGACUCCUACGGGAGGCAGCAGUGGGGAAUAUUGCACAAUGGGCGCAAGCCUGAUGCAGCGACGCCGCGUGAGGGAUGGAGGCCUUCGGGUUGUAAACCUCUUUUGUUAGGGAGCAAGGCACUUUGUGUUGAGUGUA
rnacentral:rRNA from 1 species